rnacentral:misc_RNA from 1 species
GAAAUGCGAUAAGUAAUGUGAAUUGCAGAAUUCCGUGAAUCAUCGAAUCUUUGAACGCACAUUGCGCCCUCUGGCAUUCCGGGGGGCAUGCCUGUCCGAGCGUCAUUACGCACCCUCAAGCCCGGCUUGUGUGAUGGGCCCCGGCGUCUCGUUCGCGAGACGGGCCCGAAAGGCAGCGGCGGCGUCGACCCGAUGAGCCCGAGAGUAUGGGGACUUCUGUCACACGUUCGCGGUGCGGACCGGCGCCUGCUUGACUUUUCUGAUUAUCCAGGUUGACCUCGGAUCAGGUAGGGAUACCCGCUGAACUUAAGC